rnacentral:rRNA from 1 species
GAUGAACGCUGGCGGCGUGCCUAAUACAUGCAAGUCGAGCGAACGGACGAGAAGCUUGCUUUUCUGAUGUUAGCGGCGGACGGGUGAGUAACACGUGGAUAACCUACCUAUAAGACUGGGAUAACUUCGGGAAACCGGAGCUAAUACCGGAUAAUAUUUUGAACCGCAUGGUACAAAAGUGAAAGACGGUCUUGCUGUCACUUAUAGAUGGAUCCGCGCUGCAUUAGCUAGUUGGUAAGGUAACGGCUUACCAAGGCAACGAUGCAUAGCCGACCUGAGAGGGUGAUCGGCCACACUGGAACUGAGACACGGUCCAGACUCCUACGGGAGGCAGCAGUAGGGAAUCUUCCGCAAUGGGCGAAAGCCUGACGGAGCAACGCCGCGUGAGUGAUGAAGGUCUUCGGAUCGUAAAACUCUGUUAUUAGGGAAGAACAUAUGUGUAAGUAACUGUGCACAUCUUGACGGUACCUAAUCAGAAAGCCACGGCUAACUACGUG